rnacentral:rRNA from 1 species
AUAUAUGGAAUGAUUCGCAGCCAACUCAAGGAUAAUCUUUGAGAGGUCCACAGACUAAGUGGAAGUGAACAUUCAUUAGUUGAAUGUUUAAGAUAUAGUCGAUACUUCUGAUGAGAAAUCUCGAAGUGAAAUAUUAUAGUUCCGUAGGUGAACCUGCGGAAGGAUCAUUA